rnacentral:rRNA from 1 species
UACGUAGGGUGCAAGCGUUAAUCGGAAUUACUGGGCGUAAAGCGUGCGCAGGCGGCUUUGCAAGACAGAUGUGAAAUCCCCGGGCUUAACCUGGGAACUGCAUUUGUGACUGCAUGGCUGGAGUGCGGCAGCGGGGGAUGGAAUUCCGCGUGUAGCAGUGAAAUGCGUAGAUAUGCGGAGGAACACCGAUGGCGAAGGCAAUCCCCUGGGCCUGCACUGACGCUCAGGCACGAAAGCGUGGGGAGCAAACAGG